rnacentral:rRNA from 1 species
GACGAACGCUGGCGGCGUGCUUAACACAUGCAAGUCGAACGGAAAGGCCCUGCUUUUGUGGGGUGCCCGAGUGGCGAACGGGUGCGUAACACGUAAGUAACCUGCCCUUGUCUUUCGGAUAACUUCAGGAAACUGGGGCUAAUCCCAGAUCGCAUCCCCUCCUGCAUGGUAGGGGUUGGAACGUCUCGGCGGGUGGGGAUGGACGGGCGGCUUUUCAGCUUGUUAGUUGGGUAGUGGCAUACCCAGUAAGUGACCGGUCGCCGGCCUGAGAGGGUGACCGGCGACAAUGGUACUGAGAGACGGCGCAGAGGCGUACGGGAGGCAGCAGUGGGGAAUAUGGCACAAUGGGCGGGAGUCGGAUGCAGCGACGCUGCGUUCGUGAUGACGGCCUGCGGGGUGAAAACCGCUGUCGCCUGAGACGAAGCGGUAGUGACGGUAAUGGGUAAAGAAGCACCGGCUAACUACGUG